rnacentral:snoRNA from 1 species
CGGAUCGAUGAUGACUACUGGUGGCGUAUGAGUUUUGUUCGAUGAAUACGUCUGUACUCUGAGGUCCGU